UUAAGCGUGUAGGUGUGUGUUCCAGGUAAAUCCGGUUCACUUUAACACUGAGGCGUGAUGACGAGGCACUACGGUGCUGAAGCAACAAAUGCCCUGCUUCCAGGAAAAGCCUCUAAGCAUCAGGUAACAUCAAAUCGUACCCCAAACCGACACAGGUGGUCAGGUAGAGAAUACCAAGGCGCUUGAGAGAACUCGGGUGAAGGAACUAGGCAAAAUGGUGCCGUAACUUCGGGAGAAGGCACGCUGACAUGUAGGUGAAGUGAUUUACUCAUGGAGCUGAAGUCAGUCGAAGAUACCAGCUGGCUGCAACUGUUUAUUAAAAACACAGCACUGUGCAAACACGAAAGUGGACGUAUACGGUGUGACGCCUGCCCGGUGCCGGAAGGUUAAUUGAUGGGGUCAGCGCAAGCGAAGCUCCUGAUCGAAGCCCCGGUAAACGGCGGCCGUAACUAUAACGGUCCUAAGGUAGCGAAAUUCCUUGUCGGGUAAGUUCCGACCUGCACGAAUGGCGUAAUGAUGGCCAGGCUGUCUCCACCCGAGACUCAGUGAAAUUGAACUCGCUGUGAAGAUGCAGUGUACCCGCGGCAAGACGGAAAGACCCCGUGAACCUUUACUAUAGCUUGACACUGAACAUUGAGCCUUGAUGUGUAGGAUAGGUGGGAGGCUUUGAAGYGUGGACGCCAGUCUGCRUGGAGCCGACCUUGAAAUACCACCCUUUAAUGUUUGAUGUUCUAACGUGGACCCGURAUCCGGGUUGCGGACAGUGUCUGGUGGGUAGUUUGACUGGGGCGGUCUCCUCCUAAAGAGUAACGGAGGAGCACGAAGGUUGGCUAAUCCUGGUCGGACAUCAGGAGGUUAGUGCAAUGGCAUAAGCCAGCUUGACUGCGAGCGUGACGGCGCGAGCAGGUGCGAAAGCAGGUCAUAGUGAUCCGGUGGUUCUGAAUGGAAGGGCCAUCGCUCAACGGAUAAAAGGUACUCCGGGGAUAACAGGCUGAUACCGCCCAAGAGUUCAUAUCGACGGCGGUGUUUGGCACCUCGAUGUCGGCUCAUCACAUCCUGGGGCUGAAGUAGGUCCCAAGGGUAUGGCUGUUCGCCAUUUAAAGUGGUACGCGAGCUGGGUUUAGAACGUCGUGAGACAGUUCGGUCCCUAUCUGCCGUGGGCGCUGGAGAACUGAGGGGGGCUGCUCCUAGUACGAGAGGACCGGAGUGGACGCAUCACUGGUGUUCGGGUUGUCAUGCCAAUGGCACUGCCCGGUAGCUAAAUGCGGAAGAGAUAAGUGCUGAAAGCAUCUAAGCACGAAACUUGCCCCGAGAUGAGUUCUCCCUGAGACUUAGAGUCUCCUGAAGGAACGUUGAAGACGACGACGUUGAUAGGCCGGGUGUGUAAGCGCAGCGAUGCGUUGAGCUAACCGGUACUAAUGAACCGUGAGGCUUAACCUUACAACGCCGAAG
rnacentral:rRNA from 1 species